CAACGCCGCGUGAGGGAUGACGGCCUUCGGGUUGUAAACCUCUUUUAGUAGGGAAGAAGCGAAAGUGACGGUACCUGCAGAAAAAGCACCGGCUAACUACGUGC
rnacentral:rRNA from 1 species